rnacentral:rRNA from 1 species
CCUACGGGAGGCAGCAGUGAGGAAUAUUGGUCAAUGGACGAGAGUCUGAACCAGCCAAGUCGCGUGAAGGAUGACGGCCCUAUGGGUUUUAAACUUCUUUUAUAUGGGAGUAAAAUGUUCCUAGUGUGGGAAUGUGUAUGUACCAUAUGAAUAAGGAUCGGCUAACUCCGUGCCAGCAGACGCGGUAAUACGGAGGAUCCGAGCGUUAUCCGGAUUUAUUGUGUUUAAAGGGAGCGUAGGUGGAUUGUUAAGUCAGAUGUGAAAGGUUGGGGCUCAACCGGAGAAUUGCAGUUGAAACUGGCAGUCUUGAGUACAGUAGAGGUGGGAGGAAUUCGUGGUGUAGCGGUGAAAUGCUUAGAUAUCACGAAGAACUCCGAUUGCGAAGGCAGCUCACUGGACUGCAACUGACACUGAGGCUCGAAAGUGUGGGGAUCAAACAGGAUUAGAUACCCUUGUAGUC